UACGGAGGAUGCAAGCGUUAUCCGGAUUUAUUGGGUUUAAAGGGUGCACAGGUUGUUUGAUAAGUCAGUAGUGAAAGUCUGUCGCUUAACGGUAGGAUUGCCAUUGAUACUGUUGGACUUGAAUAUGGAUGAGGUAGGCGGAAUGUGUAGUGUAGCGGUGAAAUGCAUAGAUAUUACACAGAACACCGAUUGCGAAGGCAGCUUACUAAUCCAUCAUUGACGCUGAGGCACGAAAGCGUGGGGAUCAAACA
rnacentral:rRNA from 1 species